CUAUGGCUACAAAGCCAUGGCGGAAGGAG
rnacentral:ncRNA from 1 species